GCAGAACGCGAAGAACCUUACCUGGCCUUGACAUGUACGGAACUUUCCAGAGAUGGAUUGGUGCCCGAAAGGGAGGCCGUAACACAGGUGCUGCAUGGCUGUCGUCAGCUCGUGUCGUGAGAUGUUGGGUUAAGUCCCGCAACGAGCGCAACCCGUGCCAUUAAUUGCCAUCAUUUACGUUGGGCACUUUAAGUGGGACUGCCGGUGACAAACCGGAGGAAGGUGGGGAUGGACGUCAAGUCCGUCGAUGGCCCUUAUGGCCAGGGCUUCACACGGUAAUACAAUGGUCGGUACAGAGGGUAGCCAACCCGCGAGGGGGAGCCAAUCCCAGAAAGCCGAUCGUAGUCCGGAUGCAGUCUGCAACUCGACUGCAU
rnacentral:rRNA from 1 species